rnacentral:rRNA from 1 species
UGGGGAAUAUUGGGCAAUGGGCGCAAGCCUGACCCAGCAACGCCGCGUGAAGGAAGAAGGCUUUCGGGUUGUAAACUUCUUUUGUCAGGGAAGAUGAAGAGACGGUACCUGACGAAUAAGCCACGGCUAACUACGUGCCAGCAGCCGCGGUAAUACGUAGGUGGCAAGCGUUGUCCGGAUUUACUGGGUGUAAAGGGCGUGUAGGCGGGAGAGCAAGUCAGGCGUGAAAACUAUGGGCUUAACCCAUAGCCUGCGUUUGAAACUGUUUUUCUUGAGUACUGGAGAGGUUGACGGAAUUCCUUGUGUAGCGGUGAAAUGCGUAGAUAUAAGGAGGAACACCAGUGGCGAAGGCGGCUUGCUGGGCUUUUACUGACGCUGAGGCUCGAAAGUGUGGGGAGCAAACAGGAUUAGAUACCC